UUUUUUUUCAAUUCUAGUAGAUGAUGACCUGGUGAAGUUUGAAGCAUCUGGAAGGAACUCUGGUGUUGAUAUUGAAUUUCAUGAAUCAUGCAGUGAAGUCCGUGUUCUCCAGGACAUGGUGAAAGAAAUGGGCAAUGUGGAGGAUGUAUAUUGGCAACUGAAGAAACAAAACUUUUGGCUGCAGCAGCAACAGGAGAGUCUUCUUGGCCAGUUCAGUUUUUACGAACAAGAGAUUGAGAAACUGGAGGAUCAGAGAUGUCAGCAGGAGCACAUUGUUAAGGACAUGAUCAACAAGGCAAA